rnacentral:lncRNA from 1 species
GCUUCAGUCUCUCAAGUGCUGGGGUUAUAGUCAUGUACCAUCAUUCCUUGCUUCAACCCUUCUUUUAGGAGACAUAAUUCAACCUGAAGCAAUGAUUAUCAGUACAAAUCAUCAGAAGAAAUGGAACUCUUUAAAUUUCAAGACAUAAAAAUAGCUCAUUAGAAAGAGAAAGCACAACAUGGGAACUCUGUGGCUAUUGUUUCUGCGAAUAUAAG